rnacentral:sRNA from 1 species
GACUGGCUGGACAAUGGCCCAGAACAAGCUAUUCAACAAGAUCCUCAAAGCCCUGCAGUCUGACCGGCUUGCCCGCUUGGCCAACGAAGGGGCUUGUAAUGAGCCAGUGCUGCGCCGUGUUGCUGUGGACAAGUGUGCAAGGAGAGUGCGGCAGGCUCUGGCAAGUGUGAGCUGGGAUACCAAGCUGAUCCAGUGGCUGCACACCACCCUUGUGGAGACCUUGAGUCUGCCCAUGCUGGCAGCCUACCUGGAUGCUUUGCAGACGCUGAAGGGGAAGGUCAUUUUGACCUUUUGUGGGUAGCAUGGAAUUCGCAGAUAUUUCUUCUCAGUUCUCCCUCUGUUUCCCAGGCUGGAGUGCGGUGGCACACUCUUGGCUCACUGCAACCUCUGCCUCCUGGGUUCAAGUGAUUCUCGUGUCUCAGCCUCCUGAGUAGCUGGGACUACAGAUCCCAACCUUGAUUGACCGGAUGCUUGUGUCAUCCAACACAAAGACUGGGGCUGCAGGAGCUGAGGCCUUGUCUCUCCUACUGAAGAGGCCCU